CCUACGGGAGGCAGCAGUAGGGAAUCUUCCGCAAUGGACGAAAGUCUGACGGAGCAACGCCGCGUGAACGAUGAAGGCCUUCGGGUCGUAAAGUUCUGUUGUUAGGGAAGAACAAGUGCUAGUUAAAUAAGCUGGCACCUUGACGGUACCUAACCAGAAAGCCACGGCUAACUACGUGCCAGCAGCCGCGGUAAUACGUAGGUGGCAAGCGUUGUCCGGAAUUAUUGGGCGUAAAGCGCGCGCAGGCGGUUUCUUAAGUCUGAUGUGAAAGCCCCCGGCUCAACCGGGGAGGGUCAUUGGAAACUGGGAAACUUGAGUGCAGAAGAGGAAAGUGGAAUUCCAAGUGUAGCGGUGAAAUGCGUAGAGAUUUGGAGGAACACCAGUGGCGAAGGCGACUUUCUGGUCUGUAACUGACGCUGAGGCGCGAAAGCGUGGGGAGCAAACAGGAUUAGAUACCCUGGUAGUCCACGCUGUAAACGAUGAGUGCUAAGUGUUAGAGGGUUUCCGCCCUUUAGUGCUGAAGUUAACGCAUUAAGCACUCCGCCUGGGGAAUCGGUCGCAAGCUGAAACUCAAAAGUNAGCGNGNGNGAGACGCGACGACGACGACGACGGAGGAGG
rnacentral:rRNA from 1 species